GAGAUCAAUUAUAAUUUACAUAGUUAAUUAUAAUUAAUUAAUUUUGUAGCAGUGAAUUUCUGAUUGACGUAUCUGAUAAAUCACAUGAAGUCAAUGGUCCCAUCCGAGAAGUGGGCGAGCACAAAGGGCAACACCUUGUAAAGAGCAGGGCUAGAAAUCGGGUGUGAUCGUUUAACUGCCCCUCCAUAUGUUGAAGAUAUAACGAGAGAACGAGAGGCACAAGAAGGCGGGCACUCGAUGAAAUGCUUUAUAGAUUACCUUCUCGUUCACGCCAUUGUUUCCAGCCGUACUGGCCUGUUAGCGUGUCGAUCUUUCUGAAGGAUUCGUUAUAUCCUCGUAGAAGGCAGAUGUUGGUACAUUGGGAUACUCUGAUGCUGGGAUAGUGAGAAACUUGGAUACUGAUAGAGUGAGACAUAGUGAUUUUGAGACACUGAGACACCCUGAUACUGAGACAGUGAGACAUAGUGACUCUGAGACACUCAGAUAUUGGAACACUGAGAAUCUGAGACAUUGCAACACUGGGACAUUAAGACAUUGUGACAUGUAGACACAAUGACACUGAGACACUGAGACAUUUAGGCAUUGACACAUAGUGACAUUGAGAUACUGAGACAUUUAGACAUUGAGACAUAGUAAUGUCUAGUAUAGUCAGAUAUUGGGACACUGAGACUUUGAGACAUUGGAACACUUGGACACUCAGACAUUGAGACACUGAGACACUGAGACAUUGAGACAUUGAGAC